CUGUGCUAUGGAUGAUUUUACGAUCUAAUUCAUAGACAAAACCCUAUUCAUUUGGCACCCAAAUGUCAUAUAGCCGGAACUGGGGCUUAUAAAGUUUACUGUUUUAUAACUUUUAAGGGAAGGCAUCAGUGUAACCAGUCAGUAAAUGUGCAAAUCUCUAGUUGCUCUUAGAAGCUCUGAAGAGUUAACCAUUCAAGCUCUGAUGGGCAGAGGCUAGACCGGAAACGUGCCAUGAAAAUUAAGAUUCGGUGAAUACAAAAAUCCAACGUCCAUACUUCUUUUAAAAAAGUUGUGGUCAGAAGGUUUUUUCUUUGAAGACGCACUGGAUUCAUCGCGAAAAAAAUGAGAGAAAUAUCCUUUCUCUCCCCUGGAAAUUUUACGGAAUGAGAAGAUAUUAUGCCGAUUGGUCUCUUUCUGAAAUUGUUCUGGCUCGCAGGAGCCCCUGCUACUUUGACAGCUGUCGCUUUGGCUGCACAGGAGACGAAUCGCCCUCCUUUUGGUGCCAGAAGAAGCAGGAAAUUAGCCAGGUUGCAAGUUGAAAAUCUGCCACUCCAGUGCUUUGAAUCCAAUAUGCCACACCUUCCAGCGGAGGAAUUGGAAAUUGCCAUCCAGGAUCUGUGUUCUAGGCGGCUGCUUAUGCUGAACCUCCAUACACUUUGUUCACUAUUGCCUUACAAAGAACAAAUGAAAUGGGGGAUUGAAAGCCAGAGAGAUCCGAAGCAGGACAGAGCUGAGCAAAAGAAUGCAGCUCUAUUCUCGCAAGGGAAAUUAUAAAAAAGUUCAUGUUCACGGUUACCAUCCACAUGACCGACAGCGACCAAUGGAAAAACCGAGCAACUCAUAAAGUUGUAUUGCAAAGUUGUAAAUUUUCAUAAACAACAACGGAUUUAUGGCCUUUUCCUCAUCACCAAGAAGAGGCAGGUCUUAGAGAGGCGCCAUCUUACCAGAGAGGCAGCCCUGGAGUUUUAAAAGACCUAGAGUUUGUUCUAAUUUUAUUAAAAUUGCAAUUAGUGCAUUUACCAGUAACUGAACACAGCAGAGCUAGGGAACUACUCUGCAGAUGAUGGUAUCAUUAUAUCUAUAUUUUUCUUGCCCUCUGAAGAGAAUUUAAUGCAUGAUCUUUUUAAAUUCCAUAUUAAAAUACGGGAUCUGCUUUAGGUGUUGUAAUGAUGGGCAGGGAGAAUAUUUUUAAAUAUAGACGGUUCGGUUAGGUUAUUUGUCUUGAUUUUACAUAUUUCCUAUUGCCCUAAUAUGAUUGACACGCAGACACACACCUGACUUGAUCUUCAACAUUUUGAACUUUCGCACUGCAGUUUGCGUCUAUAAUCAAAUAUUAUUCCGCUAACGCGGAUUUCCGCCUGGGUAUAGGCAGGUUUUAUGUCUACUGUGAUUUUAAAAAUUUCACUGAAGCACCUAGGAGCUUCUUGUUUAAGGAAUGAUCUCUGCUUAAUGAAUCAACUCAGGUGAAAAAUCUAGAUAGAGAAAUUGACUGAUUCCUAACAAUUCAUCACCUAUUAAUUUUUUUUGAUUGCGGAUAAAAAUGAUAUAUUUGAUCUAAAUUCUUUAUUUGGCCUUGUAAAUUUUAUGCUUCUUUUGAACUGUUCCCUAAUAAAGAAACACAAUUAAUUGUCAA